AUCAUUUUCACAACAAGUCACCACAACUAGCGGUCGAGUUUUUCCUUGAAUUCAUGGAGCACUCCAACGCCCGACCGGAUCAGUUCCGGUAGCUUUCCGUGUACCCGUGACAGGCUCGUGGAGGGCGGAGCUGCUUGGAGGAAGGAUUCGGCUCCCGAGUUCCGGGGCAUUCUCGGAAAUCAAGGACAUCUCCGAGAGGAAACAGGCAAACCUGUUGGUCUUCAAAAAGUCCCUUCUUCCUCUUCGAACUCGAGAGAUGAGUCGACUUCCAGCUCCGAGGAGCUUCAGAACCCUCGGAGCAACACCGCGAAGAUCCGCGAGAUUACCCGUCCCGAGACGAGAGGUGUCCUACUUCGAGCACCUCAGCAAUCAGAGAAAAUUGAAGACUCUCCUCAUCAAAUUCGUUGCAAGGCGGCUCUAUGGGGGUUUCAGGCCAAGUCAGAAACGGAACACUAAGCUGACGGUCCGCUUGGAAGACCUCCUCACAGUACCGUAUCUCGAAUCGGAAGUUGUCGAGUUCCUCGAGAGAGCCAGACUUCACGACGCGAUUUUUGAUCACGACGAGAUGUUA